rnacentral:rRNA from 1 species
UACGUAGGCAGCGAGCGUUGUUCGGAGUUACUGGGCGUAAAGCGUGCGUAGGCGGUAGUCCAAGUCUGGUGUGAAAUCUCCCGGCUUAACCGGGAGGGUGCGCCGGAAACUGGGCUGCUGGAGUGCGGGAGAGGCAAGCGGAAUUCCUGGUGUAGCGGUGAAAUGCGUAGAUAUCGGGAGGAACACCAGUGGCGAAGGCGAGUCCCUGGACAAUUCCUGACGCUGAGGCACGAAAGCUAGGGGAGCAAACAGG